rnacentral:rRNA from 1 species
GUGUACGUACAAGCAGUGGGAGCACAGAGCAAUCUGUGUGACUGCGUACCUUUUGUAUAAUGGGUCAGCGACUUAUAUUCUGUAGCAAGGUUAACCGAAUAGGGGAGCCGAAGGGAAACCGAGUCUUAACUGGGCGUUAAGUUGCAGGGUAUAGACCCGAAACCCGGUGAUCUAGCCAUGGGCAGGUUGAAGGUUGGGUAACACUAACUGGAGGACCGAACCGACUAAUGUUGAAAAAUUAGCGGAUGACUUGUGGCUGGGGGUGAAAGGCCAAUCAAACCGGGAGAUAGCUGGUUCUCCCCGAAAGCUAUUUAGGUAGCGCCUCGUGAAUUCAUCUCCGGGGGUAGAGCACUGUUUCGGCAAGGGGGUCAUCCCGACUUACCAACCCGAUGCAAACUGCGAAUACCGGAGAAUGUUAUCACGGGAGACACACGGCGGGUGCUAACGUCCGUCGUGAAGAGGGAAACAACCCAGACCGCCAGCUAAGGUCCCAAAGUCAUGGUUAAGUGGGAAACGAUGUGGGAAGGCCCAGACAGCCAGGAUGUUGGCUUAGAAGCAGCCAUCAUUUAAAGAAAGCGUAAUAGCUCACUGGUCGAGUCGGCCUGCGCGGAAGAUGUAACGGGGCUAAACCAUGCACCGAAGCUGCGGCAGCGACACUGUGUGUUGUUGGGUAGGGGAGCGU